GGCGCGAUGGCAGAGUGGUUAUGCAGCGGAUUGCAAAUCCGUGUACCCCGGUUCGAUUCCGAGUCGCGCCU
rnacentral:tRNA from 1 species